rnacentral:rRNA from 1 species
AUUGAACGCUGGCGGCAUGCCUUACACAUGCAAGUCGAACGGCAGCACGGGAGCAAUCCCGGUGGCGAGUGUCGAACGGGUGAGUAAAGUAUCGGAACGUGCCCAGUCGUGGGGGAUAACGUAGCGAAAGUUACGCUAAUACCGCAUACGAUCUAUGGAUGAAAGCGGGGGAUCGCAAGACCUCGCGCGAUUGGAGCGGCCGAUAUCAGAUUAGGUAGUUGGUGGGGUAAAGGCUCACCAAGCCGACGAUCUGUAGCUGGUCUGAGAGGACGACCAGCCACACUGGGACUGAGACACGGCCCAGACUCCUACGGGAGGCAGCAGUGGGGAAUUUUGGACAAUGGGCGAAAGCCUGAUCCAGCCAUGCCGCGUGCAGGAUGAAGGCCUUCGGGUUGUAAACUGCUUUUGUACGGAACGAAAAGGUUUGGCCUAAUAAGCUGAGCUCAUGACGGUACCGUAAGAAUAAGCACCGGCUAACUACGUGCCAGCCGCCGCUGUAA